UACGUAGGGGGCUAGCGUUGUCCGGAAUCAUUGGGCGUAAAGCGCGUGUAGGCGGCCCGGUAAGUCCGCUGUGAAAGUCGGGGGCUCAACCCUCGAAUGCCGGUGGAUACUGUCGGGCUAGAGUACGGAAGAGGCGAGUGGAAUUCCCGGUGUAGCGGUGAAAUGCGCAGAUAUCAGGAGGAACACCGAUGGCGAAGGCAGGUCUCUGGGCCGUAACUGACGCUGAGGAGCGAAAGCAUGGGGAGCGAACAGG
rnacentral:rRNA from 1 species